rnacentral:misc_RNA from 1 species
UUUCCGUAGGUGAACCUGCGGAAGGAUCAUUAUUGGAUUUUGAAACUUCAGGCUGCUGCUGGCUCUCCUCGGAGGGCAUGUGCACGCUUGUUGUCCAUUAUUUCUCCCACUGUGCACAAAUUGUAGGCCUUUCAGUAGGCCUAUGUUGUUUUUCACAAUCUCUGAAUGUAAUAGAAUGGUUUUGAAUCUUGGGGAAUAUAAUACAACUUUCAACAACGGAUCUCUUGGCUCUC